GGUUUGCUCCCCCUUCGCCGUAAGAGAAAAAUUAAUUUUAAGUUCACUGUGGGGGACUUGGUUCGUAUAUCCAAGUUGAGGGGUGUUUUCGAUAAAAAAUACAUGCAAGGAUACAGUGCCGAGCUUUUCACGAUUACAGAACGUCUGCCGCGCAUACCCCCGGUCUACACAUUAAAAGAUUAUGACGGGGAACUUAUAGAGGGAUCUUUUUAUGAGAAGGAAUUACAGAAGGUACAGGUGGGUAAAGACAAAGUGUUCCACGUGGAGGAGAUUCUAGAUCAAAAGAGAGAAAAGGGUAAAAAUGGGUGUUGGUCCGCUGGAAAAACUGGCCCCAAAAAUUCAACAGCUGGGUAUUAGUGUCAUGUACUGUCAUGUUGUGUCUUGUCUCUGUCCUUUCCCUUCACCCUGUCUCCCUCUGCUGGUCGUUGUUAGGUUACCCUUUCUCCCCCAAUUUCCACCAGCUGUGCCUUGUCUCCUCCUAACCACCUCGUCACCCCGUUUCCCACCUGUUCCCUUUUUCCCUCUGAUUAGGUCCCUAUAUCUCUCUCUGUUUUUGUUCCUGUCCUUGUCGGAUUCUUGUUUCAGCUGUGCCUUGUCUCCUCCUAACCACCUCGUCACCCCGUUUCCCACCUGUUCCCUUUUUCCCUCUGAUUAGGUCCCUAUAUCUCUCUCUGUUUUUGUUCCUGUCCUUGUCGGAUUCUUGUUUGUUGUGUUUCAUGUCUGAACCAGACUGUCGUCAUGUUUGCUGUAACCUUGUCUUGUCCUGUCGGAAUCUGCCGGUCCGUCUGAGCCUACCUAUGUUUGGUAAUUAAAGAAGCUCUGUUUAAGUUAAUUCGCUUUUGGGUCCUCAUUCACGCACCGUAACAAUUAGAGCAGGAUGUGGUGGAGGCAUCGGGGGUUAAUUUAAACCCCCAGGCAUGAUAAAAUACAUCCUCAUUCGUGCAGACACCGGAGUACAUAAUGGAACACAGCGGCUUCUACCUGACUCUCCCCAGUAAUGCGUCCGCACAUAUAUAUCGUAAUAAUCAGAGUUCGAAUUAUACAACCAAUUUUCCAAAGCCAUAGAGUUAUCCGAGGCCUGGGAAGUAGGUCUCAGCGAGAUUACAUACCCCCAUAGCUGGUAUAAUAUCAAAGAUAAGGACCGUGAUUUUUAUUUCAAAAAGUUAUCGGAACCUGCGAAACUUAUUAAGGUUAAAAAAGGGUUCUAUAGAACCGUCGACAGGCUCGUCUCCGAGUUGAAUG
rnacentral:lncRNA from 13 species